GAAGGAGUAAAAUGUUCCAUAUUCCAAAUAAUUUUACUCAGGUUUCUUCAAGCCUUAAGACUUUCAGUUUAAAUUAAUUUAUGGUUAAAAAAAAUUAUAGAAAAAUGUUCAAAACUUUUCACUGUUCUACAUACUAAUUUAGAGGUCAUAAGGAUUUAUUUACUUAUUUUUUCUAAUGAAGCAAGGCACUUUUCUUUUUGGGGCUUUGUUUAGGAAAAAUAGUGCUACAUUGGUUUAUUAUAUUUAGAACCAUUUUGGACAAAGAAAAAAUCGGCUACACGACUCCGAAAAGAAGAAACAGAACAUUUGGCUUUUAAGAACGCUAAAGGAAAGUCACUUGAAAGUUGAAAACUCUCCUUGUAUUUGUGAACAUCUGGUAUUAUAAAGCAAACAUUUUCCUUUGUUCAUUAAACUUUUUCUUUCUACAGAAUAAAAUUAGGAAGGUAAUAGGAAAGGAAGCAAUACUUGGAUCAUGUUAAAAUAAGGACAGUUGGCUGUCAUGAUUUAAAGAUUAUUAAUAAGGGAUCAAGAAGUUUAAAAAAAGAUAAACUAUUGAAUUAUACUAAAAAAGAAAUGUGGCAGAUUCCUACAUUUGUUAAUGUUUCUGUAAGAGGCUCCAUCAUAAAAUUGAACUGUAAAAUUAUUUUUAAAAUGUAAUAUGUAGAACAUAAAAUGAAUUUUUAGCAAACUUUAGGAAAUUCUUUUGUUAUAAAUUACCCAGAUUUUAUAAACAAAUCCCCCCUAACUUGCAUUUUGUUUAAAGUAACAACUUUAUAUCAUACAAAUAAAUUUCAAGUAUGAAAAGUGCAUUAUUG
rnacentral:lncRNA from 1 species